rnacentral:lncRNA from 1 species
UAUCUGAAAAAAUUUUACUAUGUACCAGUCACAUUAUAUCAUCUAUUAAUAAUUAAUUAUAUUUUUUAUUCUAAGUAAAAGUUUGGAUAGAUUCGAGCGACAGCGAUUGUUGUGGGACCCGAAAGGGAGGAGUAAAAUAACGUGACAGCUCAUGCACCUAGAGAGAUUUUAUUGUGUAGUAGCCACACUAUAUCAUCUAUUAAUAACUAAUUAUAUUUCUUAUUUUAAAUAAAAAUUUGUAUAGAUUCAGACGAUAGUGAUUGUUGUGGGACCCGGGAGGGAGGAGUGAAGUGAUGUGGUAGCUCACCGGAAGAAAUUUUACUGUUUAUCAGUCACACUAUAUCAUCUAUUAACAAUUAAUUAUAUCUCUCAUUUUAAGUAAAAAUUUGGAUAGAUUCGGGCGACAGCUGUUGUUGUGGGACCUAGGAGGGAGGAGCGAAGUGACGUGGCAGCUCACACAGAGAGAUUUUACUGUGUAUUAGUCACACUAUAUCAUCUAUUAACAAUUAAUUAUAUCUCUCAUUUUAAGUAAAAAUUUGGAUAGAUUUGGGCGACAGUGGUUGUUGUGGGACCCGGGAGGGAGGAGUGAAGUGACGUGGCAGCUCACCCAGAGAGAUUUUACUGUGUAUCAAUCACACUAUAUCAUCUAUUAAUAAUUAAUUAUAUUUCUUAUUUUAAAUAAAAAAUUGGAUAGAUUCGGGCGACAGCGGUUGUUGUGGGACUCGGGAGGGAGGAGCGAAGUGACGUGGCAGCUCACCAAGAAAUUUUACUGUGUAUCAGUCACACUACAUCAUAUAUUAACAAUUAAUUACAUAUCUCAUUUAAAGUAAAAAUUUGGAUAGAUUCGGACGACAGUUGUUGUCGUGGGACCCGAGAGAGGAGGAAUGAACUGAUGUGGUGGCUCACCAAGAGAGAUUUUACUAUGUAUUAGUCACACUACCACAUUUAUUAACAAUUAAUUAUAUCUCCCAUUAAAAAUUACAAUAAAAAUAUUUGGCCUAAAUUACAAAAAAAUAAAAUCUGUAAAUAUUCACUUUUUUACUUUUCCUUUUUGACUUUCAAAACCCUAUAUUUUGCCCCCUUAAAAUUUCAGAAAUAUUUUCAGAAGGGUACAACAUUAAUGGAAAUUAAUGGAGAAGGCAAAAUAAUCAAAUUACUCUUACUUCUUCUAUAAGGAAAUAUAUAUAUAUAUUUAUGUAAUUUUGAAGUGCAUGUAAAAAUUUAUAAAAAAUGGACGGAAUAUAUAUGGAACCCUAACGGAGGGGGCUAAAUGCAACAAUUUGAAAUAUUGAAGGGUAAAAUAUAGGUUUUUAAAAGUCAUGAAGGAAAAGUGUAGAAGCAGAUAUUAUAAGGAGUUUUUGUGUAAUUUAGCUAAAAUAUUUUUCUAAUAAUCAUGAUGGAACUGGUGAAUUUAAGAAACAAAUCGGCAAUAUAAUUGAUGCAUUCUAGAUUUUCCGUUUUGAAAUAACUUAUUUGUUAUAAUGAAAAUACAAGGCCAAUUUGCAUAAAAAAUCUACUACUUUUGGACUUUUGCAAAACUGGGCCACCUUUUUCGUUUUUGCAGAUUCGGUCGGCCUUUUCAGCCACCUAACUAAAAAACCCUUAUUGCUUUUUCUCUCUUCUCUUUCUCUCUCCUUUUUUUUAUCUCGCCGAAGAGACAGGGGAGGCAGAGGCGGAAGCGGAAACGGCCCGUCUCGCCUCUCACCCUCAUGCGCUUACCCUCGCCCU